rnacentral:rRNA from 1 species
UACGUAGGGUGCGAGCGUUGUCCGGAAUUAUUGGGCGUAAAGAGCUUGUAGGCGGUUUGUCGCGUCUGCUGUGAAAUCUCAAGGCUCAACCUUGAGCUUGCAGUGGGUACGGGCAGACUAGAGUGUCGGUAGGGGAGACUGGAAUUCCUGGUGUAGCGGUGAAAUGCGCAGAUAUCAGGAAGAACACCCGUGGCGAAGGCGGCUCUCUGGAACGGUACUGACGCUGAAGACGGCGAAAGCGUGGGGAGCGAACAGG